AUGACCCUUCGACAGAACUUGAGUUCGAGUCCAAGAAAGAGUUGAAAUAUAAGCUGGUUUAAGGUGGCAUCCAUGUUUAACCUGCACUAAAGCUCUAGCUAUACAGACGUCAUGAGUGAGUCUGAGAGCAGGCAUGUAGGUGCAUGUCUGUGAUCCAAGAAGAAGACAACAGGCAACAAGGAAAAGAGAUCUUCAUUUCAUCAAUCUGGCUGUUAUUGAACUACAACCCAGAGAUUAAAAUAAGGAACAAAUCUCAAACGACUUAUGAAAUUACAAAGGCCAUCCUCUCCGAAGACCACUUCAGAAUCAGCAUUCGUUGUCUUCAG